UACAGAGGGUGCAAGCGUUGUUCGGAAUUAUUGGGCGUAAAGCGCGUGUAGGCGGCUUUGCAAGUCGGGUGUGAAAGCCCUCAGCUCAACUGAGGAAGUGCGCCCGAAACUGCAGAGCUUGAGUGCCGGAGAGGAAAGCGGAAUUCCUGGUGUAGAGGUGAAAUUCGUAGAUAUCAGGAGGAACACCAGUGGCGAAGGCGGCUUUCUGGACGGUAACUGGACGCUGAGACGGCGAAAAGCGUGGGGAGCAAACAGGG
rnacentral:rRNA from 1 species